GCUUGGAAUUAGAGCCAGCCAGGAGGGGCGCGCUGGGGAGGCUCUUUCCGAGGCCUCAUCCAGCAGAUACUCCCGCCAGCCACUCCGAAUGCACUCCCACUCCGCAGCCGCAGCCAGCCAUCAGCCGGUUGUGGCCACGCAAGGGCCAAGUUCUUUUGUUUGAGGUGUUCUCCCCUUUUCCCCUCAAAUCCUCUCCUUUCCAGGACCAUGAGCUUCCUGUUGCCAUUUUUCUAACCAACUGAAUUACAUGGGUAAUUGUGAACAAAGAUGGUUCCUGCUGGUCUCACCUUUGGAACAUACAAACUUAAGGAAGAUUAGCCCUGAGCUAACUGCUGCCAAACCUCCUCUUUUUGCUGAGGAAGACUGGCCCUGAGCUAACAUCCGUGCCCAUCCUCCUCGACUUUAUAUGUGGGAUGCCUACCACAGCAUGGUGUGCCAAGCAGUGCCAUGUCCACACCCGGGAUCUGAACUGGUGGACCCUGGGCCACGGAGAAGCGGAACAUGUGAACUUAACAACUGAGCUCGGCCGGCCCCUAAACCAAUAUUUAUUAAAUGCCUCAUAUGUGUCAGGUAUAUUCAGGUGAUGGAAAGUGCUCAGGAGAAAACACAGAAAUGUCUACCAUUCUAGCUGGAAGAAACACACAUUAAGCAAGAAAACCAAUACGUAAACUUAUUUCAGAGUGAAUAAAGUAAUACAGGGGAAUGUGCUAGAGAGGCACUAUGGGGGUGGGGCAGCUACUUUAAAUUGGAGGGGAGAGUCAGAGAUCAUCUCUUUAAGGAGGGGACACUUGAAUGGAGACUGAAUGACAAAGAGCUGGCCAAGGGAAGAUGUGGGGGUGGUGUGUUCUGGACAGAGAAAACAGCAAGUAAAAAUGCCUUGAAAGUAGGUUGACAGACUCGGCAAAUAAAAAUACAGAAUGCUCACUUAAAUUUAAACUUUAGCUAAACCAUGAAUAAUUUUUAGUAUAAGGAUAUCCCAAACAUUGCGCAGGACAUACUUACACUAAAAAAUUGUUUGUAGUUUACCUGAAAUUCAAAUUUAGCUGGACAUCCUGUAUUUUAUGGAGGUCCUACCUGAAAGAGGGCCAAGGCCGGGAGCGGAGCUGGAGGGACACAAAGAGGAGCAGUGUGAUGGGGGCAGUCAGGGAGCAGGACGCCGUGAGGAGGGCUAGGAGGGGGAGCAGGGUCCAAAUCUUGGGCGGCAGAAAGGCAAGUUUUAAAAAAACCACGCGGUCACCUAAGGACUAUACUGACUGCUGCUGUUUCUUCCCCUCGAUGAAGUCAUUGGCUUUACCUUCCUGCAACCCUAUGGCUUCUGGGAAGUCUUCUUGGAAGAUGAACAAUUGUCUGGGCCGUGCUGCCUGGGGAGCCGUGGGGCCACUGUUUGACCUGCCUGAGCAUAGCGUGCCGUAUACAUUGUUUGGUCUGAGCUUUUGAGUGCUCUUUCCCUGUUUGUUUGUUUAAUUCCUGUGCUUUUGUAUGCCAUCCCCUAUAAAUCACCCUCUCCUUAAGGACUAUGUUUGACAACUUCAUUUCCCCCCAACUGGAGACAUUUCCCCUGCUAAGGGUCAAAAAGACUAAUUACCCUAAACCGAGUAUUGGAGACACCCUGAGGCUCACACACCACCCAGAAGUGCAUGAUCCCGGCCAUAUUAAUAGAAGAACGCGAGGCGAGCAGAUCUGAGCUCAGAAGCAGGGACAUCCUCCAGGCCAACUGUGUUUCUGUUGGAAAAUAAACUCCUGACCCCUUCAGCGACAAAUGUUCACCCGGUUCAGAUCCCGGGUGUGGACAUGGCACUGCUUGGCACACCAUGCUGUGGUAGGC
ensembl:lncRNA